AACGAACGCUGGCGGCAUGCCUAACACAUGCAAGUCGAACGAUGCCUUCGGGCAUAGUGGCGCACGGGUGCGUAACGCGUGGGAAUCUGCCCUUGGCUUCGGAAUAACAGUUAGAAAUGACUGCUAAUACCGGAUGAUGUCCCCCUGAGAGAUCUUGGGGACCAAAGAUUUAUCGGCCAGGGAUGAGCCCGCGUAGGAUUAGGUAGUUGGUGGGGUAAAGGCCUACCAAGCCGACGAUCCUUAGCUGGUCUGAGAGGAUGAUCAGCCACACUGGGACUGAGACACGGCCCAGACUCCUACGGGAGGCAGCAGUGGGGAAUAUUGGACAAUGGGGGGAACCCUGAUCCAGCAAUGCCGCGUGAGUGAUGAAGGCCUUAGGGUUGUAAAGCUCUUUUACCAGGGAUGAUAAUGACAGUACCUGGAGAAUAAGCACCGGCUAACUCCGUG
rnacentral:rRNA from 1 species